UACGUAGGUGGCGAGCGUUAUCCGGAUUUAUUGGGCGUAAGGCGUGCGCAGGCGGCUUAUUAAGUCUAAGAUUAAAGCCCGGAGCUUAACUCCGGUUCGUCUUAGAAACUGGUAGGCUUGAGUAUGGUAGAGGCAAACGGAAUUCCUAGUGUAGCGGUGGAAUGCGUAGAUAUUAGGAGGAACACCAGUGGCGAAGGCGGUUUGCUGGGCCAUUACUGACGCUCAUGCACGAAAGCGUGGGGAGCAAAUAGG
rnacentral:rRNA from 1 species